CACGGACGCGGGGAACGGGGCGCUGGUGGCCGCCCCGGCACGCUCCGGCGCUGAGGGCAUCUCUCCUCCCGCAGGCACCGGUGGAGCCGGAGCAUCGGGACUUGACAGAAGGGCUUUAAAGUGCGUCGUGUGCCAACUCCAAACCCCGCGGCCCCGGCUCGGCUCCGGGCCGGAGCUGCCGUCUCUGUGUUAGCCAGACCGAUGCUYCCCCCCCCGCCUCCGGCUUCUCCAACCCGCUGUCCGAAGCCCUCGGAGACUGUUUUGGGACACGGACCCCGGCGCGCGGCAGAGCGGAGUCGUGGCAUCGCGUCCGGGAGCUGCCCGGCGCUGCAGGCAGCCCCCCCGGCCCCGCGGCAGCCGGCUCCCGGGCAGGGGGGAGGCGGGAUACGGGGUCCCAGGCCCCUUUCCGCGAGCAGCACCGGGAAAAAGGACGGAUUCCCUGCAGCAAAAGCAGCGGAGACUGGAGCGUUGGGACGGGAACGGGGAGCAGGGCAGGGCCGCRGCCAGCAGCAGCUCCCCGGGGGCUGGACGUUGCAAAGCCCGGCGGCGGGGAGGGAUGCGACCGCCGGAAAAGCGGCUCAGGCUUCAUCCGCCCGCGUAAUGCCACCGCCGGGCUUCAGCCGAGUGGGAUUAGCCGGGGCCGCGGGUGCUGGGCUGCGCGGGAAGGUCGUGGCCGCCCGGAGCGGAGGCCGCGUCCCGGUGCCGGGGAUGCAGACCGGGACCGCGCGGGGCGAACGGGCCCCUUGGCUCCCCGGCCGUCCCGAGCCGCUGCCGCCGGGGGGAAAAGCCACGGAAAAGCGAGGCGAGGAGCCGGGCUGCACCGCGGCGCGUGUCCCCCGCGGGAAGCAGCACUGCCGGAGCCCCGGGUGCCUCGGCGAGGGCCUGCUGCCGCCCUUUCCCCUCCGUCCUGCCCGCGCAGCUUGUGCACCGCCGCGGAGGCGGGAGCGUGUCGCCGCGUGUCACACACCAGCGCGGGGCCCCUGCCGCCGCCGACCCUCCCCACCCCGUAACACGGCAAAUAAAUGUUGGUGCGAUCAUGGCGAGCUGCUGGCGGUGCCGGCCCCGGCAAAGGCGCGGGCAUG
rnacentral:lncRNA from 1 species